UGGAAGUGUAUGGUCAGCAAUAUCUGGCUGAU
rnacentral:piRNA from 1 species